GGUCCAGACUUUGAUCAUGGCUCAGGACGAACGCUGGCGGCGUGCUUAACACAUGCAAGUCGAACGAAGCUUGAUUACGGAAUUCUUCGGAAAGAAGUAUGAUAUGACUUAGUGGCGGACGGGUGAGUAACGCGUGAGUAACCUGCCUUUCAGAGGGGGAUAACGUUUGGAAACGAACGCUAAUACCGCAUGAAAUAUAUUUAAGGCAUCUUAGAUAUAUCAAAGAUUUAUCGCUGAGAGAUGGACUCGCGUCUGAUUAGAUAGUUGGUGAGGUAACGGCUCACCAAGUCGACGAUCAGUAGCCGGACUGAGAGGUUGAACGGCCACAUUGGGACUGAGACACGGCCCAGACUCCUACGGGAGGCAGCGGUGGGGAAUAUUGCACAAUGGGCGCAAGCCUGAUGCAGCAACGCCGCGUGAGGGAAGACGGUCUUCGGAUUGUAAACCUUUGUCUUUGGUGAAGAAGAAAGUGACGGUAGCCAAGGAGGAAGCCACGGCUAACUACGUGCCAGCAGCCGCGGUAAUACGUAGGUGGCAAGCGUUGUCCGGAAUUACUGGGUGUAAAGGGAGCGCAGGCGGGACAGCAAGUUGGAUGUGAAAUACCGAGGCUUAACCACGGAGCUGCAUCCAAAACUGUUGUUCUUGAGUGAAGUAGAGGUAGGCGGAAUUCCGAGUGUAGCGGUGAAAUGCGUAGAUAUUCGGAGGAACACCAGUGGCGAAGGCGGCCUACUGGGCUUUAACUGACGCUGAGGCUCGAAAGUGUGGGGAGCAAACAGGAUUAGAUACCCUGGUAGUCCACACUGUAAACGAUGAUUGCUAGGUGUGGGGGGUCUGACCCCCUCCGUGCCGGAGUUAACGCAAUAAGCAAUCCACCUGGGGAGUACGGCCGCAAGGUUGCAACUCAAAUGAAUUGACGG
rnacentral:rRNA from 1 species